CCAAAUUAGGAAAGUCGUUAACCAAGAAGAAGGGAGUAGUGAGAUAGACAAAGAGAGAUAGGCCUUGCAUGGCGACGAGGGCUUCCUCUGGUAGCCAAGGAUGACUUGCCUGUGGAUGUAUAGCUUGAUAUCGAUUGCGCUUGCAUCCCUGCUUGUAUGUGAUCUGUCACUAUGUACAACAGGCAGUCUCCUUGGCUAGCCCGAGUGGCCCUCGUCCUUCAUGCCAGCCUCUCAUCUUUUCUCAAACCGUAACCCAUUCCUAGCUCGUUGUGCUUGACGCCAACCACUUCAGUUCAACUGGGCAGAAAAAGCCGUUCGACCAAGAGAGGCAGAAGACCACAUGCGCGCACCCUGUGGAUGAGACGAAUCGUCGUCGGUACAUCGCUCCCUGCGCCUACACGUAGUGGAGUAGUACAGAGAGGACGAACAAAUUGCUCUGUUUGGAUCCGUAAUUCUGGUCAGUGAGCGAUGCCAUACUUAUGUUCACCAGAUGAUUCAUUUUGUUGAUGCAGAGGUUAGAUCUAAUUCGUAUCUUUACAAUAUUAAUAUAUUUUCUUUAUCGAAAAAAUAUGCUUAAAA